ACAUACAUACACACACACACACACACACACACAUAUAACAUUUAUCAUAUAUAACACUUACAACACAGUGUAUUUUCAGGCUGCAACGUCACUUAUAACAAAGAUUCUGAGGCUUCAGUGUUGCAGGAAGAAAUCCCGAAGCCUGCCGCUCCCACACCCAGCUACUAUUUCAAUUAAGGCUUUAAAAAAAACAAAAAAACAGAGACGGAACAAGACUGCUCGAGGGGAUCGUUUAUUUUGACCGAUCUUUAUGACCUGACACUUUACAAGUGAGAUUUAUUUGCCGGCGUGUUUGCGUGCAUGGAAAACUGCCGUGUAAAACGGGUAGUGAAAGUGGCUGCCGCGAAGACAUAAUAAUAUGUGAGGAAGCAGCGUGUGAGAUUUGUGUGUGGUGGAGGGAUUCCAUGAGGGAGGUGUAUAAUUAAGGUGUUUGUUCGCUUCUAUGUGGUCAGUCGCUAAAUUCAAGGGUUUAUAUAGAUGCAGAGAAAAGUGACACUUGCCCAAAAAUACUAAGAGUAAACAGCAUGAGGAGAAAGGAAAACAGGGUGGAACGAUUCAGCAGUUUGAAUCGGUGUCGUGUCAGGAUGACAGACAACAGUGAUUAUAUCAGACUGAAGCUGGGACGGCAUCUACUGCUAAAGUCAUUUCAUUACUCAUAUUUUAUUAAUAACUUAUUUCCGUCCCUGUGCCACUCAUUAAAAGAGGUGUGGCUUCGGUGAUUGUCAUUUCUAAACAGGAAGACAGUGUAAUCCUGUGCAUGUCAUUCCAGUUGAAGAAGGAGUGGCCUUUAUGACCAUCAGAACCCAAUAUAGAAGGAGUGGCCUUUGCGCCUAUCAGAACCCAAUGAAGAAGGAGUGGCCUUUGCGCCUAUCAGAACCCAGUGAAGAAGGAGUGGCCUUUGUACCCAUCAGAACCCAAUGAAGAAGGAGUGGCCUUUGUACCCAUCAGAACCCAAUGAAGAAGGAGUGACCUUUGUGCCCAUCAGAACCCAAAGAAGGAGUGGCCUUUAUGACCAUCAGAACACAAUGAAGAAGGAGUGGCCUUUAUGACCAUCAGAACCCAAUGAAGAAGGAGUGGCCUUUAUGACCAUCAGAACCCAAUGAAGAAGGAGUGGCCUUUAUGACCAUCAGAACCCAAUGAAGAAGGAGUGGCCUUUAUGACCAUCAGACCCCAAUGAAGAAGGAGUGGCCUUUGCGCCUAUCAGAACCCAAUGAAGAAGGAGUGGCCUUUGCGCCUAUCAGAACCCAGUGAAGAAGGAGUGGCCUUUGGGCCCAUCAGAACCCAAUGAAGAAGGAGUGGCCUUUGUGCCCAUCAGAACCCAGUGAAGAAGGAGUGGCCUUUGGGCCCAUCAGAACCCAAUGAAGAAGGAGUGGCCUUUGGGCCCAUCAGAACCUAAUGAAGAAGGAGUGGCCUUUGGGCCCAUCAGAACCUAAUGAAGAAGGAGUGGCCUUUAUGACCAUCAGAACCCAAUGAAGAAGGAGUGGCCUCUUUGGCCUCUGUGCCUUUUAUUACGAAUGUAGGAAUGAAAUUCAGCAGGUUAAAUCAGAUAACCGCGUGCUGAACCUGUCAGACAAGCAGUUCCGUGUUUACUGGAAAUCAUCGCUGCUUGGUCUGCUCACACACCAGCCAGGAGCUGCAAAACCCAAAGUAAACACUCAGCUUGACCUCUGACCUGCCCCUCCUUAGCAGCACAGAUGCUGGCCUUCACCUCUAGUGGUGUGUGUGUGUGUGUGUGAAUACUCCCCAGUCCACGGAACACUCAGCAUCUUGCUCUCUAUUCCUGUCCCAGUCUUAGCUCAUCUCACGCUUCUUCUAUAUCAGCUUGCCAUGCGAGUAGUGGGAUGUGAUCUGUAGGUCAUGCACGUGCAUGCUGAGUGGGACUGACUGCAUUCCCCAGCAUUCCAGCUUUAGCUUCCACCUGCCCAAUCCAAGGCCUCGGGGAGGGGCAGAGGAGGAGAGUUCGAGAUGGCAGGAAGAUGUGAAGAAAGAAGAGAAGGUCUGGGGAGCACGAAAGAGGGAGCACUGCAUUUAAACUUGUGAUUAUAAAGUGAUACUCACUGCACUAUGUAGUAUGCACUAUAAAGUAAACGGAAAAUGGAAAACCUUAGUUCAUGGACUCCGUACAGAAUUCCCGUUUCUCCUUCACGCCGUAACUCCCAGCUUUAAGGACCUUUACCCAGACGCCCCGCUUCACCGAGCCGCGUUUAUGCCCUUCCCACAAUCGGUCUAGCUCCGAGGCCGUCUGCGUGCAUGUGGUUGGUUGGAAACAAUAAAAAUCUAAAGGCGGCCUUUGUUUUACAACUCGAUGAGUCAUUUUAUUCUGAUUCAUUUCUCAGAGUCAGUAGAUGCACGCAGCGGGUUUAAUAAGGGUCCUGCUCGAGGUUCCGACCUCGGAUUCAUGUUCCCGACCUUCUGGUCACCAAAGCAAAAUGACAACAACGAUAUAUAUAUAUAUAUAAAUAUAAAGAAACCCAUCAUCCACACUGAGAAGUCAUGCAGUUUCUAAAAGCCUGUUCAAACAAUCCACCUCAAUGUUUUUCUACCUCAAAGCCUCAAUCAUAAAUAAUUACUAUUUAAGGAGCUGUUUGGGGAUCGGGGCGGAUGAGAGAAGGGCCGUUGAAAGAAAAGGAAAAAAAAAGAAAACCAACCAAGGAGAGAGUGAGAGUAGGUGAAGGACAGAAAAGAUGAACACCACACAAGCGAGCGCCCACACCCUUCAUCGCCUAAUAACCUUACCAAAGUAACUUAAGGAGGACAACAUUCAUUUGUCUUACUAGUGCCCGAAAGGCUGGUUUGAGUAUUUCAGAACCUGCUGAUCUCCUGAGAUUUUCAUGUAAUACAUAAAAGCGAACAAAUAAACACAUCUAAGUGAGUUCUGUGGGAGAAGACAGCUUCUCGAGGAGAGCUAAGAGGACGAUGGCCAGACUGGUUUGAUCUGACAAGAACGCUGUGUUUACUCAAAUCGCCACUCUUUACAACCAGGAAAAGCAUCUCAGAAUGUACAACGCGCCGGACCCUGAGGAGGCUAGAACGGCAGAAGACCACACUGGGAUCCACUCCUGGCUGCAGGAAUCUGAGGCUACAGUCAGCACUUGCUCGCUAAAACCGGACACUCGGUUGGACAUUCGAUAAGAUUCAACAAGCUGUCGCUUCUACUUUUAAUCUUUAACCGCCCAGUUUCUUUACCUGAAGCCAUGGGGUUGGCUAAUUGGUCAACUGCACAGAUGAGCAGGUGUACAAGUGUUCCUAAUAAAGUGGCAGAGGACUGUAUGAAAUGUUAACGAGACUGUUUCCUGUUGUGUACAACAAUGCGAAUGUGUUAGAUUAUGCACACUGGAAAUGCACCUGCACAGACAGUAUUUCAAAUUUUCAUGAAGCAGUGGUAGCUCAAUGGUUCAGGUUCAGUGCUUAAGGUUGGGGUUAAGAUUAAGGUUGGGGUUAAGAUUAAGGUUGGGGUUAAGGUUCAGUGGUUAAGAUUAAGGUUGGGGUUAAGGUUCAGUGGUUAAGAUUAAGGUUGGGGUUAAGAUUAAGGGUUAGCAGUUUUUUAAUAAGAUUAUCGGGAUCAAUGUUCGAUUCAUUGUGCAGCCCUAAUGAGUGAUGACAUAAAUUCAUCCAUAAUGUAAUUGUAUAUGCGACGAUAAAGGCUUUCUAAUGUCCAAAUCAGCAUGAAAAUGCUUCGAUAGUCAACUGUUAAAAAUUAUGAACUGUAUUCUAUCACAUGGAUUAACACUGUUAUUAUUGAGGACUUUUUUUUUUUUUAUCUCAAUAAUACAGUCUGUGCUGCAACACUUACAUUUUUCCCGUCCUUUAGUGUCAGUACUUCACAGAUUGGCCACUAGAGGGAGGCAGAGCAUCAGACAUCAUCUUGAGCUUGGAUAGGGAGGAGACACCACGGUAGGACAUGGCUCAUUACUAAAUCUAACCCAAGCACAGAAAAGAGCUGGCAGGAAGAAGCAAGGAAAAAUAAACAAAACUCACAGAGCAUGAAAUCGCUACGGUAUUUACAGCCUUUAGCGGGUGGGCAUUUAGACCGGUGUCCUGCAGGACCAAGCCAACAAAUCAAACCCUCCACAGGAUAUGUAAACUUCAGGCUUCAUUACCAACACAUCGCUUAACCGGCUGUAUAACACCCAGGUCUCUACAUGUCCUGCCUUCAGGAUUUGAUCUGUGCCAAAAAAGAUUAGCCGUUGAUUUUAUUUAAGAGUCUUUAAAGGAAUCCCAACCAUGCCUUGUUUUUCAGGAGAAAAUCGCCUGGAGUUAAAGGACAGACAGGUGUUGACCCUUCACCCCUAAAACUUGACCUUGCACGUAUAGAUGAGAUAAACGGUGCCGAGUGGGUGGGGUCUAAUCCUCGUCACGCCGCCGGGGUCUGACAUACGAGUGAGACGAAUCAAAAAUGUAAAAACCAGUCGGACCGCUCGAGGUGCAUUCAGCCCUGAAGCAUGUUAAGCCCUUCUCGGUCGUUUAUACUCCCUAAAACCUGUGCAUGACUCACACGCACGCGCACACACCCAUGCUCGAAAGAUAUUACGCACUAACAAAGGAGCUUUUAAAAGCGUGUACUAUUAUUAACGCUGUACAAAUAUAUAAAACAAUUACCAUACAGAGGAAGUGGAUUAUCUCAAAUACUAGGUUCAUGAUGGACAGGUAGCAUGUGCUCACGUCCUGUAGUGUGCGUGUGUGUCCGAGUGUGUGUUUCAGAGUGGGGGUAAAAGUGGAAGGGGGUGGAGGGUCGGGGUUUUCUAGGUUCCAUCUGUUUCUUCGGACAUCCCGUUGACACUCUUUCCCUUUCCUGUGAACUGGUGUCUUUAUUCUCUCGACACGUUUCCAGGAAACGCGGCGGUACAGAAUCCCGACGCAGACGGACGGACGGGCGACGUUCUUCAAGCACCGCUUUCCACGCGGCUGAGGGAGGGUGCUUUUAUAUAGGAUCUCCGCUAGACUCGUAGUCGUAUAGUAAGCGAUCUUGAGAGUAGUGGUUGUUGUUCCCGUCAUCCCACCGAGCCCACGAAUUCGGUUUCUAUCCACUUUAUUAGGAACACCUGUACACCUAGACUUUCGUGCAAUUUCCCGAUCGGCAAUUAAUCCAAACAUCAGGAUAGGGGGAAAACAUUUGAUCUCAGUUCGUCUGACCGUGGAAGGCUGGUUUGAGUAUUUCAGAAACUGCUGAUCUGUGAUUUUCACACGACGGUCUCGCGAUCCAGUAAACGGCAGCUCUGUGGGCUGACGAGACAGGCCCGAGAAGAACGGCUAGACGGGUUUCGAAGCUGACCGGAAGUCUAUGAGGACUCAAAGAACCGCUCUUUGUGGUUGAAUCGCUUGGCAGCAGGGCCUCUGAUUUAUACGUCUGUACAGGGAGGAAUGGUAUGCAAAGCUGUAGAAUGCGAUAGCUGCAAUGCUGCGAUGAUUAUUUAUAAAGCGGAAUACGGUAUGUCGCUUUAAAAAUAUCUUGCGGCACGGUGACACGCGGGUAUGUUUCACAGGGACGUGACCGUCUUUGCGGAUAUGAGUGAAUGUUAACAGGUUUCCACGUGGACGUAAACUUCCUGGUGAUGGCACGAGUGCUAUAGCGACACAACGGCAUCACGUCCUCUCUCGCGGACGCCUCAGAGCUAAACGUCACGGCGCAGAGACGCACAGGACGGCUGGGUACGCUGAAGGUGCGGGAAGAAUCCGUCAGGAACAUCAGAAGGGAAAAGCGUCUUUCUGUCUGUCUGUCUGUCUACUGAUCUAUCCAUCUGUCGGUCUAUCCAUCGGUCUAUCCAUCUGUCUAUCUAUCUAUCCGUCUGUCUGUCUGUCUUAUCUAUCCGUCUGUCUGUCUGUGUAUCUAUCAGUUUAUCCAUCUUUCUAUCUAUCCAUCUGUCUAUCUAUCCAUCUGUCUGUCUAUCUAUCCUGUCUGUCUGUCUAUCUAUC
ensembl:lncRNA